rnacentral:miRNA from 1 species
UUGGGUUGGCCAAAAAGUUCAUUUGAGCUUUUCCAUAACAUCUUACAGAAAAACCUGAGUGAACUUUUUGGUUUUCUCA